UAGGGAAUCUUCGGCAAUGGACGAAAGUCUGACCGAGCAACGCCGCGUGAGUGAAGAAGGUUUUCGGAUCGUAAAACUCUGUUGUUAGAGAAGAACAAGGACGUUAGUAACUGAACGUCCCCUGACGGUAUCUAACCAGAAAGCCACGGCUAACUACGUGCCAGCAGCCGCGGUAAUACGUAGGUGGCAAGCGUUGUCCGGAUUUAUUGGGCGUAAAGCGAGCGCAGGCGGUUUCUUAAGUCUGAUGUGAAAGCCCCCGGCUCAACCGGGGAGGGUCAUUGGAAACUGGGAGACUUGAGUGCAGAAGAGGGUAGUGGAAUUCCAUGUGUAGCGGUGAAAUGCGUAGAUAUAUGGAGGAACACCAGUGGCGAAGGCGGCUCUCUGGUCUGUAACUGACGCUGAGGCUCGAAAGCGUGGGGAGCAAACAGG
rnacentral:rRNA from 1 species